CGCCUCCUGCAAAAAUCAAUGUAUAGGAGGUCUUGCCUGCCCAGUGACAAGUUAAACGGCCGCGGUAUUUUGACCGUGCGAAGGUAGCGCAAUCACUUGUCUUUUAAAUGAAGACCUGUAUGAAUGGUGGAACGAGGGCUUAACUGUCUCCCCUUUCAAGUCAAUGAAAUUGAUCUGCCCGUGCAGAAGCGGGCAUAAAAAUACAAGACGAGAAGACCCUUUGGAGCUUAAGAUACAAGAUCAACUAUGUCAAGAACUCUAAAAUUAAGUUAAACUAAAUAGUUGACUGAUCCCUAUCUUCGGUUGGGGCGACCGCGGGAGAAAACAAAGCUCCCACGCGGACUGGGAUUAUAAUCCUAAAACCAAGAAAGACAUCUCUAAGUCGCAGAACAUCUGACCAUAAAGAUCCGGCCUAACCCGCCGACCAACGGACCAAGUUACCCUAGGGAUAACAGCGCAAUCCCCUUUCAGAGUCCAUAUCGACAAGGGGGUUUACGACCUCGAUGUUGGAUCAGGACAUCCUAAUGGUGCAGCCGCUAUUAAGGGUUCGUUUGUUCAACGAUUAAAGUCCU
rnacentral:rRNA from 1 species